rnacentral:rRNA from 1 species
AGUGAACGCUGGCGGUAGGCCUAACACAUGCGAGUCGAACGGCAGCACAGUAAGAGCUUGCUCUUACGGGUGGCGAGUGGCGGACGGGUGAGGAAUACAUCGGAAUCUACUUUUUCGUGGGGGAUAACGUAGGGAAACUUACGCUAAUACCGCAUACGACCUACGGGUGAAAGCAGGGGAUCUUCGGACCUUGCGCGACUGAAUGAGCCGAUGUCGGAUUAGCUAGUUGACGGGGUAAAGGCACACCAAGGCGACGAUACGUAGCUGGUCUGAGAGGAUGAUCAGCCACACUGGAACUGAGACACGGUCCAGACUCCUACGGGAGGCAGCAGUGGGGAAUAUUGGGCAAUGGGCGCAAGCCUGAUCCAGCCACACCGCGUGGGUGAUGAAGGCCUUCGGGUUGUAAAGCCCUUUUGUUGGGAAAGAAAAGCGGCAGGUUAAUCCCCCGCUGUUCUGACGGUACCCAAAGAAUAAGCACCGGCUAACUUCGUG